rnacentral:rRNA from 1 species
GAUGAACGCUGGCGGCGUGCCUAAUACAUGCAAGUCGAGCGAACGGACGAGAAGCUUGCUUCUCUGAUGUUAGCGGCGGACGGGUGAGUAACACGUGGAUAACCUACCUAUAAGACUGGGAUAACUUCGGGAAACCGGAGCUAAUACCGGAUAAUAUAUUGAACCGCAUGGUUCAAUAGUGAAAGACGGUCUUGCUGUCACUUAUAGAUGGAUCCGCGCUGCAUUAGCUAGUUGGUAAGGUAACGGCUUACCAAGGCAACGAUGCAUAGCCGACCUGAGAGGGUGAUCGGCCACACUGGAACUGAGACACGGUCCAGACUCCUACGGGAGGCAGCAGUAGGGAAUCUUCCGCAAUGGGCGAAAGCCUGACGGAGCAACGCCGAGUGAGUGAUGAAGGUCUUCGGAUCGUAAAACUCUGUUAUUAGGGAAGAACAUAUGUGUAAGUAACUGUGCACAUCUUGACGGUACCUAAUCAGAAAGCCACGGCUAACUACGUG